GUUCCAUCCAGCUAUGUUCCACCCAAUUGUCGGCGUCCUCUGUGGUAAGUGGUUACAUUUCCUCCAUUUUCAUGAAAGCCCAUGUGUUAGAAGAAACAUUCACUUCAAAUUUUUAGAUUACAAAAUUUGCCCCUUUCAUCUAUAUUUUUUCACGGCUGAAGCUUGAGCUUCACAACUCUUCCAUCUGCCCCCAAAAAACCAAGUCUCCACAAUGAUAGUUGCAGACAAAUAGUGAUUCCAGGCAUUUAUGUCGUAAAAUUGAUAAGAUUGUGAAAUUGUGAAAAUAGAUACGCCAUCAGUCAUAGGGAGAGUGUAAUCAGUUCCAAAAAUUACAUAUUCGCAUAACAAUUCUUUAGAUUUUUUUCCCUUCCAGACUCUUGUUGACUUGCUUUCUAAAAUUAUUUUGGAUCUAUAGAUUUUUGUGACUUGUUAGAACCCAAGUAUUAGCUGAUUUGCUUGUCCUUAGGAAGACACUCAAAACAUAUACUCAUUACCUAUUAUAGUUCCGGAAAGCAGGGCAAUGAUGAUGAAAUCCCUUUA